rnacentral:tRNA from 1 species
GCCGAAGUAGCUCAGCUGGUAGAGCAGCUGAUUUGUAAUCAGCCGGUCGUAGGUUCGACUCCUAUCUUCGGCU